rnacentral:tRNA from 1 species
GUAAAUAUAGUUUAAUAAAAAUAUUAGAUUGUGAAUCUAAUGAUAGAAGUUUAUAUCUUCUUAUUUACC